UGUACAGCUGGACAAUGACAGUGAAGCCAUGCAAGAGUUGAACCAGUCACUAUGCAGUCAGCAGUUGUGUCGAAUCGAGUGCGGCACCCACUCAUCCACUUAGUCAGAGCGAUUGUUCAGCAAAGUUGGACAGAUUAUCACGGAACGACGAGCCUUAAAAGCUAAGCAUGUGGACAUGCUUCUUUUUCUUCAUCAUAACUCUUGGAUCUUGGCAGAAGACUAAA